CCUACGGGGGGCAGCAGUCGAGAAUCUUUCACAAUGGGGGAAACCCUGAUGGAGCGACGCCGCGUGGAGGAUGAAGGUCUUCGGAUUGUAAACUCCUGUCAUAAAAGAACAAGCUCACUGCGUUAGCCGCGUGGUGGGUUGAUAGUAUUUUAAGAGGAAGGGACGGCUAACUUCGUGCCAGCAGCCGCGGUAAUACGAAGGUCCCAAGCGUUGUUCGGAAUCACUGGGCGUAAAGGGUGUGUAGGCGGCACGGAAAGUCAGAUGUGAAAUUCCAG
rnacentral:rRNA from 1 species